GUUGAACGCUUCCAGCCACGUGGAGGCGUAGCGUACGGCUCAGUAGCACAUGGCUAAUCUACCCUUGGGAGAGUGAUAACCCCGGGAAACUGGGGCUAAACGCCCAUAGACGAGCAACCCUGGAACGGGUGUUCAUUUAAAGAUGCAGGGGCAUGCCUCUGCGUCGCCCAAGGAUGAGGCUGUGUUCCAUCAGGUAGUUGGCGAGGUAACGGCUCGCCAAGCCGAUAACGGAUGCGGGCAGUAAGAGCUGGAGCCCGGAGAUGGGCACUGAGACAAGGGCCCAGGCCCUACGGGGCGCACCAGGCGAGAAACCUCAGCAAUGCGGGAAACCGUGACUGGGCCAUCCCGAGUGCCAGCCGCUAAGGUUGGCUUUUGCCCAGAGCAGCAAUCUGGGAGAAUAAGCGGGGGGCAAGACUGGUGUCAGCCGCCGCGGUAAUACCAGCUCCGCGAGUGGUCGGGACGAUUAUUGAGCCUAAAGCGCUCGUAGCCUGCUCGGCUAGUCCUGUGAUAAAUCCGACGGCUUAACCGUCGGGCUACAUGGGAUACUGUCGGGCUAGGGAGCGGAAGAGGCCAGGGGUACUCCCAGGGUAGGGGCGAAAUCCUAUAAUCCCGGGAGGACGACCAGUGGCGAAGGCGCCUGGCUAGGACGCGUCCGACGGUGAGGGGCGAAAGCUGGGGGA
rnacentral:rRNA from 1 species